rnacentral:rRNA from 1 species
CCUACGGGAGGCAGCAGUGAGGAAUAUUGGUCAAUGGACGAGAGUCUGAACCAGCCAAGUCGCGUGAAGGAUGACUGCCCUAUGGGUUGUAAACUUCUUUUAUAUGGGAAUAAAAUGUUCCACGUGUGGCAGUCUGUAUGUACCAUAUGAAUAAGGAUCGGCUAACUCCGUGCCAGCAGCCGCGGUAAUACGGAGGAUCCGAGCGUUAUCCGGAUUUAUUGGGUUUAAAGGGUGCGUAGGUGGAUGGUUAAGUCAGUUGUGAAAGUUUGCGGCUCAACCGUAGAAUUGCCGUUGAAACUGGCAGUCUUGAGUACAGUAGAGGUGGGCGGAAUGCGUGGUGUAGCGGUGAAAUGCUUAGAUAUCACGAAGAACACCGAUUGCGAAGGCAGUUCACUGGACUGCAACUGACACUGAGGCACGAAAGUGUGGGUAUCAAACAGGAUUAGAUACCCGUGUAGUC